AUUGAACGCUGGCGGCAGGCCUAACACAUGCAAGUCGAACGAGUGGCGGACGGGUGAGUAAUGUCUGGGAAACUGCCCGAUGGAGGGGGAUAACUACUGGAAACGGUAGCUAAUACCGCAUACCAUCGGAUGUGCCCAGAUGGGAUUAGCUAGUAGGUGGGGUAAAGGCUCACCUAGGCGACGAUCCCUAGCUGGUCUGAGAGGAUGACAAGCCACACUGGAACUGAGACAGGGGGCAGACUCCUACGGGAGGCAGAAGUGGGGAAUAUUGCACAAUGGGCGUAAGCCGGAUGCAGGCAGGCCGGUUGUAUGAAGAAGGCCUUCGGGUUGUAAAGUACUUUCAGCGGGGAGGCGUUACCCGCAGAAGAAGCACCGGCUAACUCCGUGCCAGCAGCCGCGGUAAUUC
rnacentral:rRNA from 1 species